GAUGAACGCUGACAGAAUGCUUAACACAUGCAAGUCUUUGGCGAAGCUGUGCUUGCACAGCCUAGCCAAGGCGGACGGGUGAGUAACGCGUAAGGAACUUGCCCUGCAGUCAGGGAUAACAGACGGAAACGACUGAUAAGACCUGGUAAAGUCAGGCGGACUCAUGUCCAGCCUGAUGAAAAGAGAUGCUGCAGGAGAGCCUUGCGUCCUAUUAGCUUGUUGGUGGGGUAACGGCCCACCAAGGCGAUGAUAGGUAGCCGGCCUGAGAGGGUGGACGGCCACAAGGGGACUGAGAUACGGCCCUUACUCCUACGGGAGGCAGCAGUGGGGAAUAUUGGACAAUGGGGGCAACCCUGAUCCAGCAAUUCUGUGUGCACGAUGAAGGUUUUCGGAUUGUAAAGUGCUUUUAGCAGGGAAGAAAAAAAUGACGGUACCUGCAGAAGAAGCGACGGCUAAAUACGUG
rnacentral:rRNA from 1 species